GCGCUCUCUCCUGGUGCUCAUGUGUCUGCUUGGAUUGGUGGUCUGGUGCCACUCGUACUGCACCAUUACUCAGUUUGAAGGUCCGGAUUCAAAGUGUGUUGAUUCAAAUGGAAAAGUCUAUUCAGAGGGAGAAGAAUGGACAGAUGGAUGCUAUAAGUGCGAGUGCGCGUCCUCCAGCUACAGCUGCUGCCUUAUUUAUAACUGCAAGGUGUGAGAAGCAGAUUGACAGGGAGGACUGCAAAGUUAAUCAUGUGCCCAAAGAGGAUCAUGUGACACCAUGCACAGUAUAAAGUAAAGUACAAACUCCACGUCUGGUGCACUUAGUCACCUGAACAUUGG